GCGACGAUGCGUAGGGGUUCUGAGAGGAAGGUCCCCCACACUGGUACUGAGACACGGACCAGACUCCUACGGGAGGCAGCAGUGAGGAAUAUUGGUCAAUGGCCGCAGGGCUGAACCAGCCAAGUCGCGUGAGGGAUGACGGUCCUAUGGAUUGUAAACCUCUUUUGUCAGGGAGCAAAGGACGCCACGUGUGGCGUUUUGCGAGUACCUGAAGAAAAAGCAUCGGCUAACUCCGUGCCAGCAGCCGCGGUAAUACGGAGGAUGCGAGCGUUAUCCGGAUUUAUUGGGUUUAAAGGGUGCGCAGGCGGAAUGUCAAGUCAGCGGUAAAAUUUCGGGGCUCAACCCCGUCGUGCCGUUGAAACUGGCGUUCUUGAGUGAGCGAGAAGUAUGCGGAAUGCGUGGUGUAGCGGUGAAAUGCAUAGAUAUCACGCAGAACUCCGAUUGCGAAGGCAGCAUACCGGCGCUCAACUGACGCUCAUGCACGAAAGCGUGGGUAUCGAACAGGAUUAGAUACCCUGGUAGUCCACGCAGUAAACGAUGAAUACUAACUGUCCGGGCCGAUUGAGGUCUGG
rnacentral:rRNA from 1 species